AUGAUCCUGAGGUGUCAGGGAUCUUUCUGUCUUCCAGGGCAAGGGGAAAUUGAGGCAAGACUCUGGUACCACAGAUUUGGGGUCCCAAGCUCAAGUCCUUUGCUCCUGUCUCUCUUGAGUCCACAGGGCCAAAGACCACCUCCAAAACUCUAUCUCCCACAAGCCCAUUCUCUCCACCAACUGCCAUUCUUUCCUCCUUCCAACAUUCCAAAAUGGUUCCUCAGUGCCAGUUUCCUUCCUACACCUUACAGCCCCAAGCCACAGAAAUGCCCUCUACUUGUACCUGUACCUGGAGAUAUCCCUCCUCCAGUACCUCCAGCUAUGAAUGUGUCCUCUAUUUGUGAGCAUAUACAAAGGGACGACAAAAAUCAAGCCAAUUGGAGAAGGCCCAGGAUGCAGUGGAUCACUUUGGUGUCUUCAGUGUCUGACCGAGCUCUAAGCACUCUACAAUGCCUGCUUCAGAUGCCAUCAUGGCUGUUGAAACAAAUUGUUCUCAUCUUCCCUUUCCACUGGGAGAAGUCUUCACAUGCUUGGGAUAGACAUCCUCCUAGAUUACUAACAGGUUUAGGUCUGUUGCCUCUCCUCAACCAAGUGUAUGUGCUGUUAACAUCAUUGGGACACAUGACGGAAUGGAUGGAAUGACAGAGUCAUAGAAUCCUAGGAUUUAGAGCUGUAAAUGACCUUCAAGAUCAAUCCCCUCAUUUUACAGAUGAGGAAAUUGAGGUUUAGAGAGGGAAAGUGAUUUUCUCAGAGUCACUCAGUUUCUUAGCUAUAAAAAUUAAAUUAUAUCUCAAAUAAUAAAAUAUAUUUUGUGAGGUUUAUUAAGGAUCA
rnacentral:lncRNA from 1 species